rnacentral:lncRNA from 1 species
UGUUUUAACUAAAUGUUUACCAUAUAGGACCAUAUAUAUUGAAAUCACUUCAACAACAGGCUGCUGUCGUACCGACAAGCAAAGCUCUGCAUCUUCAAGUUCAAGGUCUUACCUGAACUGGUUCCCAGAUUGCAUAGCUACAUUGGAUAACAGACGUUCUUCUGUCUGGACUGUUGUAGAAGUUGAACUUUACCAGUUUGAAGGUGAGGAUGUUUGUUCUAUCCACAGACCUGUUACCCGUCACCUAUUCUGUAAAUUCCACCUUUUUCAGACGAACCACUUCGGUUUUGGGAAUCCUCAGGUUACCUGACAGUGACAGGUAUGGGGAAAAUCUGGAUUCAUCAUUCAGAAUAUUUUUUUGUCAUUUGUUUGACCACAAUAAUGUCAACUGGUCAAUGCUUAUUAGAUAGAGCAAUUAUUUAUCUUACACAGUUUAAAAAAAAACAAUUUAAAAUUCAGAAAUAAAGUUAUUCAUUUAUAAAUCAAUCUACCAAAUACAUGAAAUAUAUAGACCCAUUCAAGUGCACCUUUGGCUUUGGGUCCAGGGUGUUCUUGACUUUUGAUUGUAUUCAAAUUAAAGUUGUGUAGGACUCUUUGUAAACAACAAAUGAUUAUGCUGGCAUGAACAUAUCAUACUUGUAUUAGUGACUUAAUCACAAUGAAAAUCUGUAAUAGAUCAAACUAAGUAAAAGUCUCUAUUUUUUUUUACAUAAAUCUAAGUAUAAAAGAUCAAACUCAAGUUAAAAGUCUCUAUUUUUUUUUUACAUAAAUCUAAGCUUUACUUGCAUACAAUCCCUAUUUUCUAUUCGUCCAGAUCAGGCCAUGCAAAAAUGAUUGUUGGUUUCCCCUAUCCCUGCCUGGAAUGAAGAUGUAAAAAAGGAAGAAUUGUUAUAGGACUAAAUUUAAAGAAGACAUUAUCUGAUUAUUGUUUAAUAAACUGAAUGUGACUUUUUUCCUUUGUAAUACUGGUUAUUUCAAGCAUUUCUGUUAAGUUUUGUCAUAACCAGAGUUCAAUAGUUUGAGAAAAAUCUAGCAUAAUGAAAGACGACAUCUACAGCGAUUCAAGCAAAAUUUCUUCGACAAAUCCAAACCAAGCCGCAUCAAGAUAAAAUAUAUAGUGUGGACCAAUAAAUGAUCAAAUAUUUAUCUUAUCUGCCUACAAACAGUUGAAUAUGAUACUUAAGAUGAUUUUAGGAAGAUAAAUACCACUUAUGGACCUCAUUGUCUCCUUUUAUAAGGUCUCUUUUGGUCAAUUUAUACCUCUAAUUUCCUUAAAAUUUUAACUUUUCAGGUCAAUAAGUAAAAAAUAAUGGGGUAACUUUCAUUUAUGAUAGAAAUGUUACUAACUGAAGUAUUUAAGCAGAAUGUAUAAGUUAACUGUCUCCAAGGAGGUUUCAAUAAACGUCAAAAUUAAAUUAACGCAGCAUUCCAGAGAGGGACAUAAAAGGCUUCUCUUUUAAAGAAUAAUUUGUCGUUACAGCAUUAAAAAUAAUUUCAUUAACUUAUAAACAUAUAUAUUUAUUUAAGUAUUUCCUAGGAAAAAUGUUCUAUCAUAGCAGAAAUAUAAGAAAUAAGGAGAAAAAGCACCCCCCUCCAGCCCCCCCCCCCCCAAAAAAAAAAACACAAAAAAAACAAAAUCAAUUUCAAGUAAAAUAAUUCUCAUAAAAUGUGUUUUGGAGACUCAAUCCACUCAGAUGUUUCAUUUUUUGUUAUGCUGAUAUCUAUAAUACUAAAAUAAUGAGGUCCAAUUUGUCAGCCGGCAUGGGAUAAAAACGACAAAUCAAAGAAUUCAACUUUAUAUAUAUAGCUAAUAUAGGACAAUGGUGUUGAUUAAAAGUUACACCACUCCAGACCCUUUUGUUUUCCACAUAAUUAAUAUUGUAAAUAAUUAACAAGUUCCAAUACCAAUACCAAUAGUAUAUUCACCUUUUACCUAUACCUUAUCUGUACGUUCUGCAUCUGACAGGCACACCACCAAACGGUGUAUUUAGGAUUUGCUAUAUAUACAAGGGUCAUAAUCACAAGGUUGACAAUACUAAAUUCUAUCACAUUGUUUCCUAUUGUAGUAUUUUAAUCAGUAUGACUUUAAAAGAUGAUAAUAUGAAUACUAAAAAUCUAGACUUAAAAUAAGGCGUAUAGGUUCAGUUUACAAUUUGUUAGCCGGCAUGACGCAAAACAGCAAAACCAAGAAUUCGACUUUAUUUAUAAUUAAUAUUGGACAAUGCUGUUGAUAAAAAAUUACUCCAUUCCAGGCUCUUUUGUUUUUCAAAUAGUUAAUAUUACCAAUAAUUGAUAAGUUCCAGGUCGACGGUUUCUAACAGAAAGAUUUUGAAAGUAGAGAAAACUGUGCAUCUUAUAAUCAGCAUGACUUUAUCAGAUAACUAAAUAUCCAGGCUAAAAUAAGGCUUACACAUAGUUAUAUACUUUAUUUUAGUCAGGGACCAGCGAUUUCACGGGUGUGUUCUAGUCUUAUGUAAAAUUUAACACAAAUGGACACAAAAGAUACUACACUAUAUUUGACCUUCGUUCUAAUAAAAAUAAUCAAAUAUAAAUUUUGAUCUCGACUUUCUGCAUUUUCGCCGAUCUGCAUAUCAUUUUUUUUAUUAUUUCACAUGCGUAUUUGUCUUGUAUUUGUGCCAAUCGGCAUUUCUUUUUUUAUCUUUCACUUGCGUAGAUUUUGUCUUUCAUUUUCUCCAAUUGUGUACAUGUUAAUUAGAUAGGUGAAAGUUCUUUUUCAGCACCAUUUAUGAACAUUAUGUUUUCUGGUCUGUGCGUCCGUUCCUCCGUCUGUCCCGCUUUAGGUUGAAGUUUUUGGUCAAGGCAGUUUUUUAUGAAAUUGAAGUCCUAUCAACUUAAAACUUAAUACACAAUGUUCCUUAUGAUAUGAUCCUUCUAAUUUUAAUGUCACAAUUUUCAAAAAUUGAGUAUUCAGAUAAACAAUUAUUCCUAGAUGUUUUGACAUACUGGCAACGUAUGCAUGGAACUAAUGUCUUGAUGAUUCUCGUAAAAUAAUGUCCGAUCUUGCAAUGAAGUUAAAAUUUAUUUAUACUGCUUAUUUCACAAAAUCUUAUAGUAAAAAUAAAAUUAUGACAAAGGGUCAUUGUCGUUUGUCAUUUGUUUCAUUUCAAAUUGUCUAAAGGAGAAAUGACAAACAUUUCCCCUGAUCUCACUGAAGAUAAUUACCUAAUUUAUGUAUAUCAACACUUUGGUUAGCUUGCUUUCUUUGUUUGUAUAUUUUGUUUAAUUAUUUUUUGAUAAUGUCCAAUUGAAUUUAAAUAUCAUAUAUAUAUACAGGUUUACAUACCUAUAUAUGAAGAUGUCAAUCUUAAUUACAAAGCUUGAAUAAACAUUUAAACAAACAAAGCAAGGAGGCCAACCAAAGUUUUACCCUACAUGCAUUAGGAAAUUAGCUGUAAGGCAAAACAUAAUAAUAAAAUUAAUACUCAGCGAAUGUGAAAUAAAAUCAAAAUUGUCGGUGGUAAAAACUAAAAUAUAGUUAUAAAUUUAACUUAAGACAAAAAGAAUUGCUCCAAGAAUAAUAUCCAACAUUAAAUCUCUCCCUUUCAUUUAGCUUCAACUAUGACCGGAAAGAUUGAAAACAAAUUUUGAUUUUUAAUACCGGCAACAACCUUUGUUUAAAUUUCCAAAAUGAGCAAUUUAGAUUUAUAAUAUUUUAUCCUGUUGGAGAAAUCUUACUUUGUAGUUUUCAACGGAAAAUUAUUUCUAAAAUAAUUUUUGAAUUAAAAACUUUACUGUCUCGUUUAUUCAAAACACUUGAGAUAGUAAUAACAGGGAUUGUAUUUUAUGAUAGAUUUAUAACAUUUUAGAAUAAAAAACUUUAAUUCAUAUAUUAUACUAUAAUUUUAAUUUCCUUAUAUCUUAAACAGUCAGGGGACUAAAUACUGAAAUAAGUGAUUUUUAAAUCACUUAUUUGAGUAGCAAAUUUGAAGUUUUGUCACAAAUUGUGAUUUUGAAGUUUUACCAAAAUUUUAAACUGUGACAUAGGUUUAAAUAAUAUCUUUUCAUUAAUAAACUUGGAAAAAAUGAACUUUUUGCUUCUUUUAUGUAGCAAGGUUUAUGCCUUUGAUGCUAUCAUUUAUCUGCAAAUUCUAUUUUAGUUGAAAAAAUGCUAUAAUAAUGGCUUUACAUAAUGAACUGAUACUUUCUUAACAGAUUUUUCCCAGCAGUGGGAGUAUUUUUCCUGUGAAGUUCAAGGUUUCAUCUUUCAGAUUAUGUAAUAAAAUUCUACUGUUCCUGAUAAAAAUUUCACUGUUAGGGGACAGUUGAAAUUAGUGGGGGUUAUUAAAAUAAUGAUACUUAAAUAAGUGAUUUUUGGGAAGGAAAUUGAGGUAUGAUACUUAAACAAGUGAUCUUAAUGUCAUUAUCCUAGAUUCAGUACAAGGUCAUCACCUGAAAUGACCUGGUCAUCCUAGACAAAACAGAUGUUGGUUCUGAUAAUUUUAGAAACAUAAUUAGUCCCUGGAUCAUUAGUAUUCUAUAUUUAAAGCUAUAAUAAAAUUAAAUCACUUCUUUUAGUGAUUAAUUUGUACUACUUAAAUAGGUGAUUAUUAAAGAAAGACAACUCUUACUUCCAAUCUUUAUGGAAAUAAUGUUACUUUAAUCAGUGAUUUAGAAAAUCACUCAUUUAAGUAAGUCCCCUGACUGUUAAAUAUUCAGAAAUAAUGAAUCACAAACUUGAUGCAAUAAUUAAGUUUGUCUGAGUCAGGAAAAAUAAUGGUAUAAAGACGUUCGUUCAUGAUUUUGUGUGUCCGUCUGUCAACAGUAGCGAAUAAGUUCAUUAUGGCAGACUUCUAAAAUUGACACGAAAAAAAAAACACACUUCUAGUCUGAUAUAGUCAAAUACUCUGUAAGUUAGCCAGUGCCAUCUUUCAUUUUUUGUAUUUUCAAUAAUUAUUCUAAUGAGGGACAGAGGACAAAAACAGAUUUUCAUAACAAAAGCGGCGUGAAAGGUUAUUUCAAACAAUUUUUCAUUCCAACGGAUGGUGUUUCUGAAGGUAAAUAUUAUGCGGCAACAGCAUCAUAAGAUCUGAUACUGAUACAUGCAUUUAAUCUCUUGUAUUACCGGAUGAUAAAGUAGGUGAAUAUAUUUGCUAUUCUUGGAAAUUUAAAUGUGAGUUUCAAAAGUCCAAUUUGCGAUUUUUUUCAAAUAGUGGGCCAGCAAGAAAAGUUUGUACUAUGACGUCAGAUGCAAUGUUCUAAAGAAAGACAACUCUUUUCUUCAAAACAAACGAGAAAAAAAAAAACAUGAAAAUUACUCAUAACUUUUUUGAAAGGUCGGUGACACACACUUUUUUUUGCUUUAUUUUGAAGAUUACAUACACAUGGCACUUUCCUUCUUGAAAUUUUGUAUGGAUAAAUCACUGGCAGAAAUUUUUUAAUACUGGAAACGUUUUUCAUUUUUCAUUUUUAUUUUUGGCGGGGAUGAAAUAAAUCAUAUUUUUAAAGAUCAAAACAAUACGAGUUUUAAAUUUUUGAACCUGUUUUGAUAGAUACAAAUCUACUGUUUAACGUGAAACAAGAACUAUGCUUGUAGGUUUGAUAUAAAGGAUUUUUUUGAGAGUUUAGAUAACAAGCAAAUAUUAUGUUAAUAUUCAGGAAACGCGAAACUGAGGUUGCUAUAGUGACAAAAAUAAGUCGGUGACCCCCAAUUUGUUUCAUCACAUUUUGUUCCUCAAAUCAUGAAAUACCUUCACACAAAAUUUUAAGGAAAAAUCACUGGUAGAAAUGAAUAGGUUGUUUGGUCUUUAAGUAACAAUACCUAAUUUGUUUACUAUCAACCACCUUGACACUUUUUUACAGAAAAUGUAAAUAUUUUAAUUUGUCAGAUGCUGUGAAAAAGUGUCCUUCAAUUGGACAUUCUUUUAUGAUAAAGUACUAUUAAAUUCUGUCCUACAAGGUUGACAUUCAAUAAGAGGACUUUUUCACAGUGAAAGCUAAGUGUCCUUUAAAGGGAGAUAAUAAAAAAGUCACUGAUCUUUAAUUCUGCUAAGUUUUUUUUUACCUAUUCUGCAUCAAGCAAAUGAAAGAUCUAGUCGAUGAAUCAUGACUUAUUGGGAGCUGUCAACAAGCACCAAAUCUAAAGAAACUUCUGACACGAGCAAAAUUCAGUACACAGAACGAAGGUGGCAGAAAUACAAAAAUGGGGGGAUCCCAGAUGUGGAACAUGCUAAAUGCUAGAAGUAAAACUCUGAAAUCAGGCACAGCAAUUAACACCGAAAAAUAUUAUUUAUUGUGCAACCUGUCCCACUUGUAAUCAAAACUACAUACAGGUCAAACCAUUUGAUAGAGGAAGAGUUCACAAACAGCUGUCUGGACAAAGGUCCCUUCAAUUAGAAACUCUCCAUGUUCUGAACACUUUGACCAAUGUGGAAAGGGAAAAUUUAAACUAUAUCCCUUUCAGGUCAGGUGAGCUUUUCUUAUCACUUGGCGUCCGUCGUCCAUUGUCGUGCUGCCCCUGAAUUGGAAAUUUUAGCGAAAUUUUGCCGUUUUUGGUUAUUAUCUUCAAUAUUAUUAUGGAAAUAGAUAAACUGUAAACAGCAAUAAUGUUCAGCAAAGUAGGAUCUACAAAAAAGUCAACAUGACCAAAAUGGUCAGUUGACCCCUUAAUGAGUUAUUGCCCUUUAUAGUCAAUUUUUGUCAAUUUUUUUUUACAAAAAUCUUCUCUGAAACUACUAAGACAAAUUUAACCAAACUUGUCCUCAAUUAUCAUUAGGGUAUCUAGUUUAAAAAAUGUGUUAAAUGAUGCCAUCCGGCGAACCAAGAUGGCCAACAUGGCAAAAAAUUGUAACUAGGGUAAAAUGCAGUUUUUUGCUAAAAUCUCAGAAACCAAAGCAUUUUAAGCAAAUCUGACGCAGUUAAAUUUGUUUCGUUAGGUCUAGGUCUAUCUGCCCUGAAAUUUCCGUAACAAACAUGCAAAAUGUUGUUGGGUUGCUGCCCCUGAAUUGGUAAUUUUAAGGAAAUGUUGCAGCUUUUGGUUAUUAUCUUGAAUAUUAUUAUAAAUAGAGAUAAACUGUAAACAGCAAUAAUGUAGAGCUAAGUUAGACCUACAAAUAAGUCAACAUGAUGAAAAUGGUCAAUCGACCCCCUUAAGGAGUUAUUGCCCUUUAUAGUCAAUUUUUAACAAUUUUCAUAAAUUUUGUAAAUCUUGUAAAAUUUUACAAAAUAGUUUAACUACUGGGAUAGAUUCAUAGGUUCAUUAGAUAGAGAUAAUUGUAAGCACUAAGAAUGUUCAGUAAAGUAAGAUCUACAAACACAUCACCAGCAUCAAAACACAAUUUUGUCAUGAAUCCAUCACUCUGCUGUGUCCUUCGUUUAUAUGAUAUGCACAUAGACCAAGGUGAGCAACACAGGCUCUUUAGAGCCUCUAGUUUCAGAUGUGGACCUAAGAUAAAAUUCCACUUGAAGCCAAGGAACGCUAUUUUAUUUAACUGUAUAAGCCGACUUUUAAUAGGAAGUGAAAUUCGGUCUGUGAAUAAGAUUCCGUAAUAUAUACAAACUACCACAUGACGUUACUAUUAGGUAACAUCACAAGUUGUUACUAGUAACGAUAACAAUUCUGUCUGAUGAACUGUAAGGGAUGCAGUGAAAGCGCUAACAGAAACAGUGUUCGAUUUAUAAUGUGAUUUUUUUUGUGUUUUUUAUUUUUAUGUUCUUUGAAAAUUUCUUCAUACAUUGUUGGUCAUCAAAAAUGUGUGUCAUUAAUAAUAUUUACAUGUACUUGGGACCUUUUGAAUGUUCAAAACUGUUCUAUUUGCUUAAAAGUAAUCUGAAGCAAUUUCUAGACAAGCUUCGAUCAUCAGGGUAAAAAGCCUUGUGACCUAAAUAUUGAUUAAUCAGUUAAGCUAAUUUUUUUUUCAUUAAUAAAAAAAUUCUACAGAUGAUUAAGUAUAUAUAACUUAUAUUUAUUUCAAGCAAACUAUAAGAAUGUUUAUAAAAUUUAAAAAAAUCACAGAAUCUUAAUAAAAAAAAAUUUGCAUUAUUUGUUAAACAUGUUAAAGGGACAGUAUGGACUCAGUUCAUCAUUAUAUGAUUGGAGCACAUGUCAUGUGCAUGCUGUGUAUAUUGUAUAAUAGAUUUAUUAUGUCUUGUCUAUCUUAAGUUUGGUUAAACUGCCUACUGGGAAAACAUUAUUACAUGUUUACAUUCCCAAUUACUACUAUAAGUCAAUUAUGUGUGAAAAAUUUCAAUUUCAUGGGUUUUAAUCUCGGUUUUAAUCCCCCAGGAUGUGAAACAUUAGAAUUUGUGUAUAUAAAUGAAGAGAUAUGAAAAUUUUAUCCUCAGUACUGUACGUCCCAGUUACUUAAUUAAAGACAAUAGAAAAUAUUAAAUUAGGGUAAUAAAUAUCCCCCCCCCCCAAAAAAAAAAAUGAACAUUGAGAAGUUCUCACUCUGAUACAUAUUUCAAUGAUCAAUUUAAUCAUCUUUUAUAAAUUAGAUGUGAGGACAUGCAUGGAUAGUUUUAAAACUCUUUCUUAACUUGGAAAAAGCACCUGGUUUCCUUAAGAACACAACAUUUCAGGGGAGGAUGCAGAGCCUCUAUAUAUUUACUCUUCUCCUGGAUACUGAUUUGUGAACAUGUAAAAAUAAGGCAGCUAAUGCACUCAUGUAACCUCAACAGCGAAAAUGACAAAUGUAUAAUUUUAUUUACUUUUUUCAAUUUCUCAUUGAUGUGUUGUAAAUUUUCUGUUAGAAACUCACACGACUCUCUAUCUAAACUAGUGUGACAGUAACACAAGACUGUUUUAUCUUAAUUUUGCAUAUUUUUUUUCUAGGUGUACAACUGUGCAAGUAUUGAACAUCAGCUUGAAAUGCAAUGUGACCUAAAAGACAGUAUAAUAAUGGACAGAUGUAAGUAAUGAUAAAAUAGUCAAUGAUAUGGGAAAUGUAUGAAAUUGUAAGAAAAAGUUGACAGGCAUAUUGUUUUACACCUGUCCCUCCGUCGGUCAGUUAACUAUAUAUAUAGGUCAAAGUACAGCCUUCAGCAAUGAUCAUCAUACUGCAUAGUCAUAUAUAAAAAGGCCCUGAAAUUACAAUUGUAAAAUAAUUCCAAACUAAUGACCUUAAUAUUAAUAUACAAAUAAAAUAACUAAAAACAAAUAUGCAACACAGCAACAAACAACAACCACUGAUUGUCCAGGUUCCUGACUUGGGACAGGCACAGAAGAUAGCAGGAUUAAACAUGUUAGUGGGAUCCAAGCCCUAAUAAAAUCAUAUUUUAGUUAUUCUCCUCAAGAAAAUCUAAUAUAAUGUAAUUAACAUCAACCAUUGUCAACACUUUUAAAUGUUGUACUUAACUUUAUAUAUAAAGAAGAUGUGGUAUGAUUGUCAAUGAGACAACUUUCCACAAGAGACCAAAUGACACAGAAAUUAAAAAACUAAAGGUCACUGUACCCUCUUCAACAAUGAGCAAAGCCCAUACUGCAUAGUCAGCUAUAAAAGGCCCCAAAAUGACAAAUGUAAAACAAGAAAACUAACGGCCUAAUUUAUGUACAAAAAAUGAAAAAAAAAAAUAUGUAACACUUCAACAAUUGACAACCACUGCAUUACAGGCUCCUGACUUGGAACAGGCACAUACAUUACAUUGUACCUUAAUAUUUUAAUUCGCAUAUUGGUAUACAAUCUAUUGUAUACAAUCUAUUGUAUGUUUUUUUUCUUUUUUUCUUUAAAAAGUUAUAUGCAAGUUGGGGCAUAAUCUGUGUCCCAUGGACCCAAUCAUGACAUUUAUUUAUUCAGAGAAUUUUGAAAGGAAUAAAUAAUGAAUAAUUUUUCAUAAUUUUUUUUCAUCUUUUAGAAAAGUCGUCUCCUGAAACAACUGAGACAAAUCUAC